UACGGGGGGAGCAAGCGUUGUUCGGAUUUACUGGGCGUAAAGGGCGCGUAGGCGGCCAGCACAAGUCAGUUGUGAAAUCUCCGGGCUUAACUCGGAAAGGUCAACUGAUACUGUGCGGCUAGAGUGCAGAAGGGGCAACUGGAAUUCUCGGUGUAGCGGUGAAAUGCGUAGAGAUCGGAAAGAACACCAACGGCGAAAGCACUCUGCUGGGCCGACACUGACACUGAGAGACGAAAGCUAGGGGAGCAAACGGG
rnacentral:rRNA from 1 species